rnacentral:rRNA from 1 species
GUGCAGCAGGCGAGAAACUUUACAAUGUGCGAAAGCACGAUAAGGGAACUCUGAGUGCCUCCUAAGGAGGCUGUUCAGGUGUCUAAAAGCACCUGAAGGAAGGGCUGGGUAAGACCGGUGCCAGCCGCCGCGGUAACACCGGCAGCCCAAGUGGUAGCCACGUUUAUUGGGUCUAAAGCGUCCGUAGCCGGCUGGGUAAGUUCCUUGGGAAAUUUGGCUGCUUAACAGUCAAGCUUUCAGGGAAUACUGCCCGGCUUGGACCGGGAGAGGUCAGAGGUACUCCAGGGGUAGGGGUGAAAUCCAUUAAUCCUUGGGGGACCACCGGUAGCGAAGGCGUCUGACCAGACCGGGUCCGACGGUGAGGGACGAAGGCUAGGGGCGCGAACCGGAUUAGAUACCCGCGUAGU